rnacentral:lncRNA from 1 species
AUUUCUGGCGAUCGUUCGCAGCUCUGUAAGGUAGCUGGUAAUAUUUUCGCCUGGUUCUUGGUUUCUAUUGUUAAAACGAUAGCGCUCAUAGAUAACUUGUGUUCUGGGGGCACAAAACUGAUCGAACUUCUGCAAAACUAACUCGAUGUCAUUUUGGUCUUUUCCUUCAUUCCACGUGAAGGUGUCGUGGACGUUGACACCGUCCUCGCCAAUGAUGCUUAAUAGAGUCGAGACGCGAACAACACCUUCUUGUUUGUGCAUGCCGGUGGCGAUUUCGUAGCGUUUCCAUGCUUGUUUCCACGAUUUCCAUGUCGUGGCUAAGUUGUCGUUAAAGCUUAGCGUUUUAGGCGGCGGCAAAUUUGACAGCGGAGCAAAAAUCUGUGACAUACCUGCUUGUACUGCUUGUGCUUGUGCUUGUGCUGGAGGGUCAGCCAUCCUUAGGCAUGUGAUUAGACCGUCCCACUUCUGACACCAUGUAGCGAAAUUGAUGUGUAAUAAUGUACAACAAAGAAACAGCUUUAAGUGAUUUAUUCGCCCAGUGUUACACGCAAUGCAGGCUCCCAAAAAUACAGACGGUCCUUGUGUUUAAAUUGUUACGAAAUCAAAUAAUCAUACAAAGCAUCUGAUUGGCUGAAAUCAAACUGGUGAUCAAAAUAACAUGGGCUAGGGCACGUGCAGUAUAACGUAACGCAAUAUCUCUACAGUCAGUCUAACAUAAGAACUUGCUAUGGAGCUGCUAUAUACCUUUUAAUGUUUUGAAUUGCACUAAAGUCCAUACAGAUGUAACUUGAAUAAUUUAGAAAUUACUGUUAUGGUUUUAACCCAACCAGUUCCAAAUAUUCAUGUCAUUGGUAUCUAUCACUCAAAAACGAAAGUUACAAUUUCACAGUUAAUUCAUGCUCUUACUCAUCUUCACAACUCAGUAUUAAUAGAACCCACAAUUCUAGCUGUACUGCUUGGGGAUUUCAAUAUUGAUCUAAUACAGGCAAAUACAGAACAAUAGGCUCUAAUGAAAUAUCUUAUAACAGACAAACGAUACACUCAGUUGAUUAACCAGUAUACUACUGCAUGACUACUGUACACAGAUAGAUCAUGGACCACAAAUUAUGUGCACAAUCAGCAGGUGAACAUCAGCCUAUUUAUCUAAAAUUUAAUUUCCAUGAAAGCUGUUUGAAUAUUUGUUUAAAAAUUCAUUGUGUAUAUCAUGUGAAAUCAUCAUAGUUAAUUUAGCUGAAGAUCAAACUUUACAAACCAAAUAAAUAUCUAGAUGUAUCAAGCAACUAUUUUAAUCACAUAUAGAAAACAGUCAGGACAUUUAUUGCCAGAAACAAAUAAUGGUCUGAAUUUCCUGUGCUUUUCAUGUUCCUAAACUCCUACAGCUGUAGUCCUCAUGAGUUUCAAAAUUACAUGUAACUCUACCAGAAUUUGGAGAUGCUGUAUAUAAGGAUAAAUUUUUCAGGUAUACAUGUGUAAUUUUUCUGCAUUCAUUUUUAUACUCUUUUAAAAUAUGUGACUGUUAUCUUUAUUGUGUAUUGCAGGUGAAGCAAGUUAUACUGUUGUGCAUAUGCAAAUAACCUAGAUGAACACUGGUAACGACUACAGUAUACUUUAAUAUGAGUGACAUUGCAGGUGGUGUUGUUCAACUGAGGGACUGGACUCAAGAAUCCCUAAGUCAAAGGGG